GUGAGAGUCCAGUGACAAUUCUGCAACAUAGUAAUUUUCUCUCUAAAUAUUUCCAACAGGUAGAAUCUCAUAUAUGUGCUCCAGGAGACACUUAAAGAACGGUCAUAGCAAUAUUCUUGUAAAAACUCCAAACUGGACACAACAACCCAAACAGCCUACUCAAUGUGAAGACGACAAGGAUGAAGACCUUUAUGAUAAUCCACUUCCACUUUGUGAAUAGUUAAUAUAUUUUCUU
rnacentral:lncRNA from 1 species